CAGUCGAGCGGACAGAUGGGAGCUUGCUCCCUGAUGUUAGCGGCGGACGGGUGAGUAACACGUGGGUAACCUGCCUGUAAGACUGGGAUAACUCCGGGAAACCGGGGCUAAUACCGGAUGGUUGUUUGAACCGCAUGGUUCAAACAUAAAAGGUGGCUUCGGCUACCACUUACAGAUGGACCCGCGGCGCAUUAGCUAGUUGGUGAGGUAACGGCUCACCAAGGCAACGAUGCGUAGCCGACCUGAGAGGGUGAUCGGCCACACUGGGACUGAGACACGGCCCAGACUCCUACGGGAGGCAGCAGUAGGGAAUCUUCCGCAAUGGACGAAAGUCUGACGGAGCAACGCCGCGUGAGUGAUGAAGGUUUUCGGAUCGUAAAGCUCUGUUGUUAGGGAAGAACAAGUACCGUUCGAAUAGGGCGGUACCUUGACGGUACCUAACCAGAAAGCCACGGCUAACUACGUGCCAGCAGCCGCGGUAAUACGUAGGUGGCAAGCGUUGUCCGGAAUUAUUGGGCGUAAAGGGCUCGCAGGCGGUUUCUUAAGUCUGAUGUGAAAGCCCCCGGCUCAACCGGGGAGGGUCAUUGGAAACUGGGGAACUUGAGUGCAGAAGAGGAGAGUGGAAUUCCACGUGUAGCGGUGAAAUGCGUAGAGAUGUGGAGGAACACCAGUGGCGAAGGCGACUCUCUGGUCUGUAACUGACGCUGAGGAGCGAAAGCGUGGGGAGCGAACAGGAUUAGAUACCCUGGUAGUCCACGCCGUAAACGAUGAGUGCUAAGUGUUAGGGGGUUUCCGCCCCUUAGUGCUGCAGCUAACGCAUUAAGCACUCCGCCUGGGGAGUACGGUCGCAAGACUGAAACUCAAAGGAUU
rnacentral:rRNA from 1 species